rnacentral:lncRNA from 1 species
UUGGCCUAACUUACCUGAACCGUACUAUUGGUCUUGAAGGUGGCACUGUCAUCCCAUUAGCAGGCAGCAGGCCCUGCGAGCCUCCUGUGAUCAGCUAGAUUUCUCUGGGGAAUGAAACAGCUGCUGAUAGGGACUGACUUCCUCAGUCACAAGUGUUUCACAAGUGUGUUGGUUCAGAGGAGGGACCAGGCAGAAGGUGGUUGAGAGGCAGAGCUGCCCCUGAGUGAGCCAUGCAGAGGAUCUCCUCCCUCAUCCAUCUCUCUCUCUUCUGGGCAGGAGUCAUGUCAGCCAUUGAGUUGGUGCCUGAACACCAAACAGUGCCUGUGUCAAUAGGGGUCCCUGCCACCCUCAGGUGCUCCAUGAAAGGAGAAGCGAUCGGUAACUACUAUAUCAACUGGUACAGGAAGACCCAAGGCUCAGCCACUCAGCUUGCCCGUGCCCUCCCAUGGUGCUCAGAUAGGCAGCCCCCAGUGGGACAGA